rnacentral:rRNA from 1 species
GGACGAACGCUGGCGGCGUGCUUAACACAUGCAAGUCGAACGCUGAAGCUUGGUGCUUGCACUGGGUGGAUGAGUGGCGAACGGGUGAGUAAUACGUGAGUAACCUGCCCUUGACUCUGGGAUAAGCCUGGGAAACUGGGUCUAAUACUGGAUACGACAUGUCACCGCAUGGUGGUGUGUGGAAAGGGUUUUACUGGUUUUGGAUGGGCUCACGGCCUAUCAGCUUGUUGGUGGGGUAAUGGCUCACCAAGGCGACGACGGGUAGCCGGCCUGAGAGGGUGACCGGCCACACUGGGACUGAGACACGGCCCAGACUCCUACGGGAGGCAGCAGUGGGGAAUAUUGCACAAUGGGCGGAAGCCUGAUGCAGCGACGCCGCGUGAGGGAUGACGGCCUUCGGGUUGUAAACCUCUUUCAGCACGGAAGAAGCGAAAGUGACGGUACGUGCAGAAGAAGCGCCGGCUAACUACGUG